UGUGUUCGCCACAAUUGUUAUAACGUUAUUAUUUUGUAUAUUUAAAUCUUUCAUUCAACAUAGUAAAUUAAUGAAGUACACGGCUACAAUGCACCGAUUGAUAUUUCAAAGUUUAUUGUCCGUAUUAAAUGUAUCUGUAAAUCGAGAUAACUGAAAAGGAAAAAAUGUCAAUCACUAAGUGAUUGAUACCUUUAAGUUUGGACAUAAUCUUUUAGUAAGUUUCACUGCGCUGAAAGAUUAACGUUCGAAAGGUACAUGUGCUCUUUGGUUCUUUCGCAGUUCUACUCAGUUCUUUCGCAAAAGAACCAAAGUCGUGGGAAAGAACUUUGGAACAGUUCCCGAACAGACAUAUAGUCAUGUACAAGACCAAGCCCAAACUAAUCGGAAAGAGGAUAAGAAACCUGCGGUUGACAAUUCGCCAAGAUUUACUAGCCGCUUCGCUGCUCUCUUUCUAUGAAACUUAAAUCGCUAUUAUAUCGCGUGGAAUUUGUCUUGCUGCUGCAGGUUCAUAGAUACUGACGUAGGUUGCUGGAGGAUAUUUAUGCGCCUUGCGACAUUCAAGGUAAAAUACACUUCAGAAUUCUCGCUGCUCGAGAUAUACAGAUAUGUAACUUGUGAAUAGCAAUAAAUAAUACGUCGCAGACAAAGAAAGGUAGGCUGGUAUACGAGCCAAGUCUUCAUCGAGAGAAUUAAGCGCAAUUUUAUUUGUUCCAGUGUAACGUAAUUUGUAUAUUACGGAGACACUGAAGAGAUGAAGAAACAUUAUGUAUAUUUUAUGAUGAAACAUUACGGUCAUAUUUUUUCUCGAAAAAUGAUAAAACGAGUAAUAAGAAGAAAACACGAGUGAUGAAAAAGGAUGGGUGUGUGUGUGUACUGUGUUUGGUACCUUUCUAUCUAUUUUUAACAGAAAAAUGUUCUGGCAGUAAUCCAGAAUAUCUACGUUGAUCUCGCAUAGUUGAGCAGUGCAUCUCUGCCAUGCAUUGGAAAUUUUCUUUUGUGCAAAAGUCAUCAGUUUACAUGUGAAUGAAAAAAUAAA